rnacentral:rRNA from 1 species
GUAGUUAGCCGUGGCUUAUUCAUCAGGUACCGUCACUUGCUUCGUCCCUGAUAAAAGAAGUUUACAACCCGAAAGCCUUUCUUCCUUCACGCGGCGUUGCUGGGUCAGGCUUGCGCCCAUUGCCCAAUAUUCCCCACUGCUGCCUCCCGCAGGAGUCUGGACCGUAUCUCAGUUCCAGUGUGGCCGAUCAGCCUCUCAGCUCGGCUACCCAUCGUCGACUUGGUGGGCUGUUACUCCGCCAACUAUCUAAUGGGACGCGAACCCCUCUUAUACCGGAUUGCUCCUUUGACCUCAUCCCGAUGCCGAGUCGUGGUCUUAUGCGGUAUUAGCAACCGUUUCCGGUUGUUAUCCCCUGUACAAGGCAGGUUGUUCACGCGUUACUCACCCGUUUCGCCACUAAGUUAUCAACCGAAAUCAAUAACUCCGUUCGACUUGCAUGUGUUAGGCACGCCGCCAGCGUUCGUCCUGAGCCAGUAGNUACAACUCUAGA